GCCUUCUCUACGUUGACAAAGUGGCAACCGUGCACCCAGACUGCCCCUGAUAACAAACAUUUAUUUAAAUGGUAUCAUUAUAAAGUGUAGGUCUCUAGUAUUCCAAAUGAAAAGCAUCAGUGAAAUGCAGCAACGUGGGAGGUGCCUGGCUAGAAAGGAUGGAGGAAAACAUGCUAUUUGUGGAGAGGAAAGGCAGGGUGGGAAAGGCAGAGAGAAUGCUGGGGAAAGGGUCCCUCUCUGAGGGAGGUAGGAAGGCACAGAUGGCUUUCAGGGAACCGCUGUGGGGCCCACAUCUUCAGAGCCCUCAAAGCUUUGUGUUAAUGACAAGAAUGCACUCAUGUAUUGCUACGGUAAUUGACAACAAAGCCCAGAGGCUUAAAUUCUUUGCUUCUUGACUGAGAACUUUAUCUCAUUUAACAACUGAAGCAUUUAAAAAAAUCUAGUAAACACUUGGGAGUUCAUGCCCUAAUGGAGACAGAGCAUAAAACAAGGUACUUUUUAAGCAUGGCACUACAAACACAAAAUCUGCCAAAUAUACUUGGAAUGUACCGGAAGGUACAGAGUGUGUUCACAGACGAGACAAUGGGAGCAGCACGCCCAGCGCGGAGGCCGGUUUCUGCUGAAUAAAUCCCGAAAUAUACAUGAUAAUGCUGAACUGAAAUAAAUGUCACAUCUCCACUGGCUCAUUUCUGAAGAAGGAACAAUUGCUGCAACAAUAGUAAGCUCAAGUGACAUCAAAACAGCCCAAUUUCUGGUGUAUAAAUCACCUUGCAUCCUAUUCUAGCCAAUGCAGCAAUCACCUUGUCUGAGCACAUUUUCUGUUUUUUUAUACAACUUACACGUGUGUCAGAUUUUCUUCAUGUUAACUACUAGUUUUCACUGCAACAGAAAAAAGCAAGGAGGAAGGUCAUUAGGAUGGGUAGAAAAAAGACACGGAGAAGGAAGGCAUUGAUAAUUUACCAAGAGGGACACUAGAUGCUCGCCUAAACUAUCUGAAGUGCUUAUAUAAUGAAGCAAGAUCUCUCUACCAAUGAACCCAACAGAUAUUUCCUGAGAAUUAUAAUUACCCCAAAGAUUUAUGAGACCUCUGUGAGACUAGACUUGUUUCAGAAGGACAAAGCCUAUUGGAAAUGACCAUAUGAAUAAUUUGUUUUUCAGGAAUAACUUGUGACCAUUCCAAACCUUCUCAGACACUAAUGAUAAUUUAUUCAUAAAUUAACUGGAUAGGCAAAUUCUCGCCUAAUGGGAACCAGUUGGCAACCUUCCUAGAGCACCAAAGACCGAUGGUCCCUGACAGUGGUUCUGUGUUUUGGUAACUGCAAAUGAAUCCUGCUUCAAAGCUAAAUAGACUGGGGCAGAUCACUCAUAGGAAGACAGGUCUAUCUGCAAAGGGGCUCUGACGUGCAGGACAGAGACUGUUCUAGAGCUUUGUCAUCAUUAGUCGCUCCCACCCAUGGAACGCUAGAAAUGUGCUUUGGAGGAAGUGCACUGAUGUACUCAGGAAAUAUUUGUGAAUAUGUUAGUACUUUUGCUCGGACUUUGCAAGCCUGUGUCAUCUAUUUCAGGAGGUGACCACCCAGAGAGAAGGGAAUUUUACCAAGCAAUAAAGUUGCUAAAAGCACAAGAAUAUUUCAUCAUUUUAAAACUUGGGAUGAAGCUCUCUAUAGAAAAUGAAGUCACUGAUAGCCCAGCUAAAGUGAGAAUCCUAGAACAGACUUCAGAAAAAUCAUAACAUGCCCAGAUUGAGGAAAAGUAGUUUUGUUUUGUUUUUUAAAUCAAGAGAAACAAACCGGGGACAGCAUUUCCCAUGGUUUCACUUCACAGAGAAACCAAUGACGUACUGAUCUUGGCAUGGGUCAGGUUUGGAAGCUUUUAUUUCUCAGGGAAAAAAAGUGAAUCAGGAGAGAUCUGUUGAUCACUUCUCAGUUUAUUGUACAGACUGAACCUGUAUAUCUGUCUGAUUUAAAGCUUAAUAUAAUGAACUUAAUACAUUAUCAUCCUGAAAUGAAUAAAGUCACACUAAUUGAAGAAAUAUAAAACCGCAAAUAAUCUCAAACCACAGUAAUCAAGUGGAUUAGCCUGUUUCUUUACCUCUUUUACAAUACCCCUCCUGCCGAGGGCUGCCAGACCAAGCAAAUUAAAACAUAAGACAGCCAGUUACAUUUAAAUUUUGGUAACCAAUAAUCAGUUUCUUAGUAUGUCCCAUGCAAUAUUUGGGACAUACAAAUACUAAAAAAUUACUUGUUGCUUAUCUAAAAUUUGAAUCUAACUGGUUGUCUGUCCAGUGUAUUAUCCGGCAUAACUACUCUUGCCCCAAGGUUGGAGCUACUCUGCUUUAGCUGAUUGUAAAACUAAUUUGCAUUCAUCAACACUCAAAUAGAGAGGUGAUAAGGUGACUUUUCACCUGAGUUCUAAUGCUCAUUUUGAAAUCUUGGAUGAUUCAUUUAACUUUACUGGGCUCUAGUCACCACAUCUGUAAAAUGGGAUGAAUAAGAGUUCCUCCUUUGUGGGGCCAUUUCAAGGACUAUAGGAGAUGGUACAUGUAAGGGCCUAACACAGUACUCAGUUCAGAGCAAAUGCUCAAUCAAUAUUAGUUAUUAUUAUCAGCAGGAGAACAUGAUGAAUAAAUAAAAUGACAGAGAA